rnacentral:rRNA from 1 species
AGCAUGUGGUUUAAUUCGAAGCAACGCGAAGAACCUUACCAGGCCUUGACAUGCAGAGAACUUUCCAGAGAUGGAUUGGUGCCUUCGGGAACUCUGACACAGGUGCUGCAUGGCUGUCGUCAGCUCGUGUCGUGAGAUGUUGGGUUAAGUCCGUAACGAGCGCAACCCUUGUCCUUAGUUACCAGCACGUUAUGGUGGGCACUCUAAGGAGACUGCCGGUGACAAACCGGAGGAAGGUGGGGAUGACGUCAAGUCGUCAUGGCCCUUACGGCCUGGGCUACACACGUGCUACAAUGGUCGGUACAAAGGGUUGCCAAGCCGCGAGGUGGAGCUAAUCCCAUAAAACCGAUCGUAGUCCGGAUCGCAGUCUGCAACUCGACUGCGUGAAGUCGGAAUCGCUAGUAAUCGUGAAUCAGAAUGUCACGGUGAAUACGUUCCCGGGCCUU